CCCACACAUGGUGGAUAAAUCUUAAAAGAA
rnacentral:piRNA from 1 species